rnacentral:rRNA from 1 species
CAUCCUUGAAAGAGUGCGUAAUAGCUCACUGGUCGAGUGGUCGUGCGCCGACAAUGUAGCGGGGCUUAAGCGUGCCGCCGAAGCCGCGGACUCCUCCGUGAGGAGGGGUGGUAGGGGAGCGUCCUGCGUUGGGUGAAGCCCGGGAGUGAUCCUAGGGUGGACGGCGUGGGAGUGAGAAUGCAGGCAUGAGUAGCGAUGACUAGGGUGAGAGUCCCUAGCGCCGAAUGACCAAGGGUUCCAGGGCCAGGUGGAUCCGCCCUGGGUGAGUCGGGACCUAAGACGAGGCCGACAGGCGUAGUCGAUGGAUGACGGGUUGAUAUUCCCGUACCGGCGUAGGACCGCCCAUGCUGACGCGCGGGUGCUAACUCACGCCCGUGGUCGUUGAUUCGCUGGUGGCCGGUACCUUCGGGUCCGGGUGCUGGUGUCGGCCAGGGUCUGGGGAUCCUCCGUGCAGGUAGGCAAGCGUAGUAACAGGGGUGACGCACAGUGGUAGCCUCGCGGGCCUAAUGGCUUGGCCCGUUCAAGCGCGCAGCCUCUCGCUCAGGUAAAUCCGGGCGAUCGCGUUAAUGACAUGGUUGUUGACGCGGGGGUGAGGCGUGAUGGUGACCCCGCUGUGAGCGGGGGAGAGCAGGGUGAUCCUGGGGUGCCGAGAAAAGCCUCGACGCGAUGGUGCUGGGCCGCCCGUACCCGAAACCGACACAGGUGGUCGGGCAGAGCAUGCCUAGGCGAACGAGUGAAUCAUGGUUAAGGAACUCGGCAAAAUGCCCCCGUAACUUCGGGAGAAGGGGGGCCUGAGCUUUGAAGCCCCUUCGCGGGCUAGGAGCAAGGGUCGCAGAGAACAGGGGGGAGCGACUGUUUACUAAAAACACAGGUCCGUGCGAAGCCGUAAGGCGAUGUAUACGGACUGACGCCUGCCCGGUGCUGGAAGGUUAAGAGGAUCCCUCAACCCCCCGCGCGGGGGUGAAGGGGUGAGUUCAAGCCCCAGUAAACGGCGGUGGUAACUAUAACCAUCCUAAGGUAGCGAAAUUCCUUGUCGGGUAAGUUCCGACCUGCACGAAUGGCGUAACGACUUCCCCGCUGUCUCAACCAUGAGCUCGGCGAAAUUGCAGUACGAGUAAAGAUGCUCGUUUCGCGCAGAAGGACGGAAAGACCCCGGGACCUUUACUACAACUUGGUAUUGGUGUUCGCUGUGGCUUGUGCAGGAUAGGUGGGAGACCGUGAAGCUGUCACGCUAGUGAUGGUGGAGUCGUUGUUGAAAUACCACUCUGGCCUGGGCGUGCGCCUGAACCUCGGCUCGUGAUCCGGGCCAGGGACAGUGCCUGGCGGGUAGUUUAACUGGGGCGGUUGCCUCCUAAAGAGUAACGGAGGCGCUCAAAGGUUCCCUCAGCCUGGUCGGUCAUCAGGUAGUGAGUGCAAGUGCACAAGGGAGCUUGACUGUGAGACUGACGGGUCGAGCAGGUACGAAAGUAGGAACUAGUGAUCCGGCGAUCCCGUGUGGGUGGGUCGUCGCUCAACGGAUAAAAGGUACCCCGGGGAUAACAGGCUGAUCCUGCCCAAGAGUCCAUAUCGACGGCAUGGUUUGGCACCUCGAUGUCGGCUCGUCGCAUCCUGGGGCUGGAGCAGGUCCCAAGGGUUGGGCUGUUCGCCCAUUAAAGCGGUACGCGAGCUGGGUUUAGAACGUCGUGAGACAGUUCGGUCCCUAUCCUCUGCGCGCGCAGGAGACUUGAGAAGACCUGUCCCUAGUACGAGAGGACCGGGACGGACGAACCUCUGGUAUGCCAGUUGUUCCGCCAGGAGCACGGCUGGUUAGCUACGUCCGGACAUGGAUAACCGCUGAAAGCAUCUAAGCGGGAAACCAUCUUCAAGACCAGGUCUCCACCACCCCCUCCUUUCUUUUUCGCUAUAGUGAAUAGAGGGGAGGGGUGGGAAGGCCCCCAGAUGAUGACUGGGUUGAUAGGCCGGAGGUGGACACCCAGUAACGGGCACCAAGCCGACCGGUACUAACACGGCCGAUCACACACAA